AGUGGAAUUGCUGGGGCAUAUGGUAACUCUAUGUUUAACUUUUUGAAGAACUGCCACAUUGUUUUCCAAAGCAGCUUUACCAUUUUACAUUUCCACCAGCAAU
rnacentral:pre_miRNA from 1 species